rnacentral:pre_miRNA from 1 species
GGUCCCUGCCCCGUAGAGCUUACAAUCUAAGUGGUGCCCAUACCUGAUGCACUCUUACCUUCCGCUUUGUGCCUGUAUGUUACCCAACCACUUAGACUGUAAGCUCUACGGGGCAGGGACC